GACGAACGCUGGCGGCGUGCUUAACACAUGCAAGUCGAACGGAAAGGCCCUGCUUUUGUGGGGUGCUCGAGUGGCGAACGGGUGAGUAACACGUGAGUAACCUGCCCUUGACUUUGGGAUAACUUCAGGAAACUGGGGCUAAUACCGGAUAGGAGCUCCUGCUGCAUGGUGGGGGUUGGAAAGUUUCGGCGGUUGGGGAUGGACUCGCGGCUUAUCAGCUUGUUGGUGGGGUAGUGGCUUACCAAGGCUUUGACGGGCAGCCGGCCUGAGAGGGUGACCGGCCACAUUGGGACUGGGAUACGGCCCAGACUCCUACGGGAGGCAGCAGUGGGGAAUAUUGCACAAUGGGCGGAAGCCUGAUGCAGCAACGCCGCGUGCGGGAUGACGGCCUUCGGGUUGUAAACCGCUUUCGCCUGUGACGAAGCGUGAGUGACGGUAAUGGGUAAAGAAGCACCGGCUAACUACGUG
rnacentral:rRNA from 1 species